rnacentral:rRNA from 1 species
GAUGAACGCUGGCGGCGUGCCUAAUACAUGCAAGUCGAGCGAACAGACGAGGAGCUUGCUCCUUUGACGUUAGCGGCGGACGGGUGAGUAACACGUGGAUAACCUACCUAUAAGACUGGGAUAACUUCGGGAAACCGGAGCUAAUACCGGAUAAUAUUUCGAACCGCAUGGUUCAAUAGUGAAAGAUGGCUUUGCUGUCACUUAUAGAUGGAUCUGCGCCGCAUUAGCUAGUUGGUAAGGUAACGGCUUACCAAGGCAACGAUACGUAGCCGACCUGAGAGGGUGAUCGGCCACACUGGAACUGAGACACGGUCCAGACUCCUACGGGAGGCAGCAGUAGGGAAUCUUCCGCAAUGGGCGAAAGCCUGACGGAGCAACGCCGCGUGAGUGAUGAAGGUCUUCGGAUCGUAAAACUCUGUUAUUAGGGAAGAACAAACGUGUAAGUAACUGUGCACGUCUUGACGGUACCUAAUCAGAAAGCCACGGCUAACUACGUG